CCUAGGCUGGAUUGUGAAUUCAUGCACAGAACCAGACCUUCUCUACACCUAAUGCCAAAAAAAGCCUGCAAAGUUCUCCUCUGUUACAAAGCAACACACAAAGCCCUCCUAGUCCAUCACCUGUUGCUCAGGGCAUCUAAGAGUAGAAACACACUGAGCCCCUGGAGCCCACACUGAGAAGCUGAGCACUGAGAAGGGACCAGGAUGUGAGGAACCACAUUAGUGGUCUUUGGCCGCUAUUGCUGAUGAGCAAAAGCCAGAAGGCUUAUUCCUUUGUUCUAGAAAUCAGAAAACAAGGAGAAGAAGCACUGCUUUAAUUACAUUUAGAGGUUUCUCCUAGAGCAGUGUCCCUGGUAUGGCAGCAUGGCUGUUUGUUCCUGAAUUAGUCAACCAUCCUAGCAGGACCUUGUAGCUAAUGACUACAAUAGCAAGUAUGGCUUUGAGUGCCACAGAGAUUCAAAACUGAUUCUUCAGACCUACGCAUGAGGCAGUUCUCCAGAUCUAUUGAGGACAUGGAAUGGUUUGGAAACCAAACUAAGGAACAAGGCACAAACCCAAUCUUUAUAGGACCAGGGAGAAAAUGCUAAGAGGAAAAAGAGCAAUUGUGGUUUUAUUCCAUCAUUAUUAGCUAUAACUUGCAAUUGCUGUGGGGUAGUUCAGAGUUUAUUCAGGUUGACAACUUGAGUCAAAAGUUUAUUUCAUUCCUGAAGCUGCAGACUUGAAAUGCUUCGAGUUCUUACAUCCCAGGGGAAUCCCGUAUGCAAAAUACUUGAAAAUACAUUUUUUAUCAGAAAGAAAAAGAGAUUUAAGCAUUGUUGCAAGUGUUUUAUAUAUUCAUAGAAAUCUCAAACUACUAGGUUAAUUCCUGAGACUAUUUUUACCUUUUGCACUUGUGCUUAUUGUUGUCUGAUUCCAUAUUCUCUUACUGCUUGUAACCCACACUAAUCCUAUCUCACUGCAUGCAAUAAUAAAGCAAAGAAUUACCUAAGGGA